rnacentral:lncRNA from 1 species
CACCAUGGUCCCCUUGAAUUAGAAAUACCCAUUGAACAAAUCACCUCAUUUCUUAUAUAAAUAUAUAAACCACCUCAUUUCUUCUGUGUUCCUGCCAGGAUUGAGGGUUUCUAUACAGACCAGCAAUAAACCAGAAGAAAAUGGAGCUGCUUUAUGGUUUUCUCUGUCCCUUUUCUUCCCAUAAAAUGUGCUGCAGUCAUAUGAGGAUGGAAAAACAUCUCAGCAACAAUCCAUAUGGAAAAGGAUUUGGUGAGGCCUCCUUUGAAUCCCUGUUCUCUGCUUCUGCUUUAUUUCACUGAGGAAAGUCUCGUGUGCCAGAAAUGCAAAAAGAAUGCAUGAAUAGCAGAAAGCAGCUUAAAUAGUUAGAAAUAGGAGUGGAGCUGCUUGAUGAAGGUUCAUCACUCAAAAUGAAAUAGGAAAAGAAAACACGGAGCAAAAGAAAGGGAGAAAAGUUGAAAUGUAAAUUCAAAGUUUAAAAUUCUUGCCUCAUUUACAAAUGGGGAAUUGUAAUGGUGGGGAAUUUGUUUAGAAAUAGAUUAAUGUUAUGUUCUCUG